rnacentral:lncRNA from 1 species
AAACCCCGAGAUAUUAUUACUACGAAGGAUAAACAAAGAUCAAGGGUUUUUUUGUGCAGAAUAAGAAACGGCGGGUCAAUCUUUGAUCAAGCCCCCUUAGAUACAAAGGCCUGCCCGCUUGACUGACAUUCGGUUCAAAUCAUUUUAUCGAUAUGAGUGUUCUAUAUCAGAUAAAUUACCAACUAUUCAUUUUUAAACCAUUUCGGUACGUUAGA